rfam:Hordeum vulgare subsp. vulgare, WGS project CAJW01000000 data, contig: morex_contig_64145
GACAUACUCCCUUCGUCCGAAAUUACUUGUCGCACAAAUUAAUAAAAAUGGAUGUAUCUAAAACUGAAGUACAUUUAAAUACAUUCAUUACUAUGACAAGUAUUUUCGGAUGGAGGGGACUACAUU